rnacentral:piRNA from 1 species
UGCUAAAAUCCAAAGGAAGCAAGCCUGCGAG